GUAUCAGUGGCGAAGUUGUUAGCGCACGAGCCUCGACUAUGCUUGAGGCGCGGGUUCGAAUCUCGCAUGAGCCG
rfam:Nippostrongylus brasiliensis genome assembly, scaffold: NBR_contig0000440